UUUUUUUUUGUACUCGCCUCCAAGGCCAUUAAGGGGUAUGGACUAGGACUUCUUCAUCACUGAGGGAAUGAUUUAUCAAAGCUAAGUUAUCAAUGAUAAUUUUGAUAUUUUAAAAAUAAUCAGUAAUAGUACUUCCGUCUUGUUUCAUUUUCAUUAGAUUGGAUAAAAGUCUGAGCAUGUGAGUACGUGAGCGAUUUGCCAAGGUGGUUUGCAACUUGGACUAUGCUUCUGCAAUAGUUUUAUAUAAAGACAUCAGUAGAGCGACGGACCCAACGAUUGAGGUUUGAAAAGCUUAGAAGAUGAGAUGAUCUUAACGUAAUCAUAGUUUGUGGGUUAGAUUUGAUACUGGAUUGAGUUCUCUUGAGAUGUUGACCAUUGCAGGUGGACAACAGAGAUAGUCGUCGAUGUAGCCUAAUAAAUCAUAUUCAAAUAGGAGAUUAGAAAAUUAUAAAUGCCAAGUGCAUAAUUAUCGUCUUUAGAUAAUUUGAAGGGAAUGAGUGCUGCAACACAUUGACGAUGAUAAGGCCUGUAGGUUAAAAAUAUUUUGAGGAUACGUACAGGAGGAAAAGUUUGAGAGUGUCAAUUGUAAAAAAGAGGUGGAAGAGAGCUGCGAUGAGGAGCGGGGCUUCUUCCAGAGGCACGAUUGUUGCAGGGAGCAAGGCAAAGUUGCUGCAGUUCUAUAGAUUUUGUGGCGGAAGAUCUGAGUGGUGAAGAAGUUGUCGUCACGUCAGAUUCAUCAGAAAGUUGGCUACCGGAAGCUCUCCUGUUGUGACUAUGGGAGUUCUCGGAUCGUAAGAUCGGGGAUGGAGACUGUGUUGUUGAAGAGGAAGGCAGCAACGGGAAGAAAGGUGGGACGGGGCGCUCGGGGCAGGCAGAGUGCCCUGCGGUAAGGGGAGAGUGCCCACCGUGGAUUGCUGUUGCCAUGGGCAGCCGGACUUUGCAGAUGUGAUGGCGGUAGUCGGCUGUGAAAUUUUCCGGAUGUAAGCUGCGGCUAUGGGGAAGAGGAAGGCGCGAUAGAUGACACCAGGUAGUAGGCGUUGAAUCUGGGUGCUACAGAAGGAGCAAAAGAUUACAGGUAGCGGCGUCAAUUUCUAGAGCAGCGACACCUCGAUGAUGCACCUUGAUGUGCUUUGGUGUGGGCUGAAGUUGCGGCCUGGAGGAGCAGUUCAGAGUAGAAUCCAACUGAUGAUGGAUGAGAGGAAGCAGAAAAGGAUGCUCUCCAACAGGGAGUCGGCACAGAGGUCACAGAGGAAGAAGCAGUAGCACCUGGAAGAUUUGACAACCCCAGCAGUUCUGUUGUAGAAUGAGAAGAACCGGACGUUGAUCCAGGUCUGUACGCUACAACAGCAGUAUCUGUGUCUGGAUGCCCAGAACACCAACCUCAAGAACCAGGUGAGAGAGUCACAGAGAAGCUGAAAUCUAUGAACUCUUUGCUUCGCUUCGUGGAGGAGUUCGACAGUACGACGAUGGAGGUAUAAAUUGUGACACCGGAUCCAAUUCUCGAGCCAUGGCAGCUUCUUCUUGGUCGGCCAAGCUGAUCAUGGCAUCUGCCGAAAUGCACUAUUUUGAUGUCCAGCCUUUGUUUGUAUCUUCUUUAUCCUGUUAUGGUAAUGCACUUUGUGUGAUAAUGUAUUAAGGCUGAUGUUCAGCCUUUGGUUGUAUCUUCUUUAUCCGGGAGUGAUUGGGGUUCGACUGCCUCCUGUAGCGCCGUCACAAUCGGGUUUGCUUGGCGUGGAUGCCUGUCUCUGGAGAGCAGUAGAGCGGUGAGGACGAGCAGAGAGCGGCCUGCGACCAGAGGAUCGCAGUCGCCGAAGGAAGAGAAGCAGCAAUAGAUCGCAGCCGAGAUCUAUUGGCGAAAAGCUCUUCAUUGGUGAGGAGGGGUGAAGGUCAGCCGCUUGCUGCAGAUCAGGUGAUGGCGGUCGGCGAGGAAGAAGGGGGAGCAGUGUUGGCGAGCGCGGCAAUAGAGGCACCGCUGCCGGAGGGAACGCAGUAGAUGAUAUCCUGUAUUGCUGACAUAGGACCCUUCAGGGCUACAGUGAGCGGACACUGGCGCAGAGCGGCAGCGGGAGAAGACAGUCAUCGUUUGCCGAGAAGGAAAGCGUUGAUCUGAUCAACGUCGCCGAAGGUGGCAGAUCGUUGUCUCCUGGGCGAUUCUGUCGUGAUAAGGAGGGUGAUGCAGCACCUGCGCUUUCUUUGGGAGCGUCGUUCGCGGGGAAAAGACGAAGAAAGAGGGAUGCUGCGCUGAAGGGAAGGGGCCGCCUUGCGCACGAACGCAAGAGAAGGGGGAGAAGACCCUCGACAGGAGAUGUGGUGCUUGCCUUUGGAGCAGCAGAGGCAGCAGCGCAAGUUCUCUGGUAAGCGAUGCAAGUUUCCACGGUCUUGGUGCCGGUACAGCAAGAGGACGCGCUCCUCGGGCGCCGCCGAGGGAGAGGCCCGUCAAGGAGAGCUUGUAGACGCGGCCGUUGUUGCAGGUAACCCCCUCGAGGUAGGAGGUGAAGAUGUUGCACGGGGCAGCGAAGGUGGCGGCCGUCCAGUUUCGGAGACUGCUGGUCGCGUCCGUCAAGGAGUUGCGCAGGUUGGAUAGGCACGCCUCAUCGUCCAGAUCAGAGAGUGCCGACGGCAGGAAGCGAAGUAAUGGUAGUAACUGAUAAGGUGUGCUGGAGAUGGCUGGGAUCUAGAAGCGGUAGUGCGGAGCUGCUGGCCGUCGGGGACGAAGGCCGCGCUGAUGGUGCCACUCGAGGAAGAGCUGUAGGAGGCAGCAGCGGAGGGAGAUAAAGGUGGCUCCUUUGUGGGUUUCCAGCGUGCGUUCCUCGGCCGGAAUGGCCUUAAAAGCUGGAGGAGCUUUACAAGCCCUACUUCCCAAAGUCCAGUAGCAGCAACGGUCGAGGUGGAGUCCGUCACCGUGCUUUGCUGACGCCGUUGCGGGGCCGUCCAAGGAAGUGAUUGGGAAAGGGCGUCGAGGGAGGAAGAGAAGAGGCGGCAACGGACACGCCAGUGAGGAACGACCUGUGGCAGUGGAAGAUGGAUGCGGAGGAUCUCGUCAGUCCACUCCUCGACGUCGGGCUUGAAAGCGCAAUGUUGUCCGUCGCUGGACAGCGAAGAGGAGAAAAUAAUAAUAAUCUUGUUUAACGCAAGGGCUCACUUGAAUUAGUUGAGCAUAAUAUUUAUUUAUACAUAUUAGAAAAAAAAAUUCUUAUGUAUUUAGAAAAAUCUUAUCUACUAUCAUACACUCACCAGCAAUCGUCAUAACGUAGAUCUUCGUGAUCUUGUUAAGAAUUCCACAUUGGUGACGCCACACGAUAGAAGAAAGAGCUUAAUCUCUGCUACUGUUUUCUUGCGGAACAGGAGGGAGCAGCAGCUUGGAUAUGUUAUGGUCUCUGUAGAUCUCCGUUUCAUCACUCUAUUCGCAUAGGAGCCAGAGCUCAUUACAUCGAAGCUCCUGAUAAAACAGAGGAGAUGGUGGUUCGUACGGAGUGCUGCAAGUUUACUGGUUUUUUUUGGACCAUCCGUGGAUGAACAUGUGUCGGGUGCAAUCAUUCACAACCAAGCUAGGCGUGAAGGUGGAGCAGGUAGAUGUCCUCGGAAAGAAACGUUGUAGCUAGCGAUUUAGAUGAUUGCUGGAGAAUAGGCUGUGGCUUGCACCGGACGUGUCGUGUUAUCAGAACACCCACAAGAGUAAAGAAGAGGAAAGACGCAAGAAACUUAGUGCUUCAUUUAUUGACGAUGACGACAAAUCAACCAAUACAGCAACACAACAGUCGAAAACAAAGCUAGAGUUCACAGAACUCUCAACAACUAGUAGAAGAAAUCAUUUGUACAGACGAACGAAUCAAUCACAGAGCAGCGCCACCAUCGUAUCACCACUUCCUGCAGACAAGAGCAGAAGAUCCAAGAAAGGAACUUUGAACAACUCUUUCCUUCAGAACAAAGAAGUUGAAGAUAGAAAGCAAAAUGGAUGUGUCAGAAGUAAAGGAAGGAAAAGACCAAAAGAGUUUGGUACCUUACAGAGGAGCUCCGAGGAGCAAUUUUACUUGGUUAUGGCGUACACCGCGUAGAUGAUCCCGGGGAUGUAGCCCAGAAUCGUCAACAACAGGCAGAUCCAGAACUCCGCCUGCUCAAGAACGAUAAUUAGCUGAUUUGCUCGUGAGAUGAAGAAGAGGGAUACGCAUGCAUACAACAUCACUGCACACACGCACCUUGCAUCCGAACUUGAGGAAGACACCGAGCGGAGGGAGGAUGAUGGCCAGAAUGAUAUCGAUGCAGUUGGCUGUGCCCUCG
rnacentral:lncRNA from 1 species